GACGAACGCUGGCGGCGUGCUUAACACAUGCAAGUCGAACGGAAAGGCCCUGCUUUUGUGGGGUGCUCGAGUGGCGAACGGGUGAGUAACACGUGAGUAACCUGCCCUUGACUUUGGGAUAACUUCAGGAAACUGGGGCUAAUACCGGAUAGGAGCUCCUGCUGCAUGGUGGGGGUUGGAAAGUUUCGGCGGUUGGGGAUGGACUCGCGGCUUAUCAGCUUGUUGGUGGGGUAGUGGCUUACCAAGGCUUUGACGGGUAGCCGGCCUGAGAGGGUGACCGGCCACAUUGGGACUGAGAUACGGCCCCGACUCCUACGGGAGGCAGCAGUGGGGAAUAUUGCACAAUGGGCGGAAGCCUGAUGCAGCAACGCCGCGUGCGGGAUGACGGCCUUCGGGUUGUAAACCGCUUUCGCCUGUGACGAAGCGUGAGUGACGGUAAUGGGUAAAGAAGCACCGGCUGACUACGUGC
rnacentral:rRNA from 1 species